rnacentral:rRNA from 1 species
UGAGGAACAUGACCUUCGGCGGGGGAUAGCCGGCCCAACGGCCGGGUAAUACCGCGUACGACCACAUGGGGACAUCCCUGAGUGGUGAAAGCAGCAAUGCGCCGAUGGAGUGCCUCGCGGCCUAUCAGCUAGUUGGUGAGGUAAGAGCUCACCAAGGCUAAGACGGGUAGCUGGUCUGAGAGGAUGAUCAGCCACACUGGAACUGAGACACGGUCCAGACCUCCGG